rnacentral:rRNA from 1 species
CCCUUAGAUGUUCUGGGCGACCCGCGCACUACAAUGGCGUGUGCAGCGAGUGCCGAAGUAGAGUUUUCCGAGGUAUUCUUGCAAUGCUCGUUUUGAUGGGGAUAGACCCUUGCAACUGUUGGUUUUGAACGAGGAAUUCCUUGUAAGCAUGGUUUAUCAUCCGACGCUGAAUGCGUCCCUGCCCUUUGUACACACCGCCCGUCGCUCCUACCGAUGAGUCGUCCGGUGAAGUUCGUAGACCUCGUGAUCGCGGAUCACUGGGGGAAGCAAAAUGAACCUCGCGGUUUAGAGGAAGGAGAAGUCGUAACA